rnacentral:rRNA from 1 species
GAUGAACGCUAGCGGCAGGCCUAACACAUGCAAGUCGAGGGGUAACAUUGGUGCUUGCACCAGAUGACGACCGGCGCACGGGUGCGUAACGCGUAUACAAUCUGCCUUGUACUGGGGGAUAGCCUUUGGAAACGAAGAUUAAUACCCCAUGGUAUCCAUUCACCGCAUGGUGUGUGGAUUAAAGGUCACGGUACAAGAUGAGUAUGCGUCCUAUUAGCUUGUUGGUAUGGUAACGGCAUACCAAGGCUACGAUAGGUAGGGGCCCUGAGAGGGGGAUCCCCCACACUGGUACUGAGACACGGACCAGACUCCUACGGGAGGCAGCAGUGAGGAAUAUUGGACAAUGGGGGCAACCCUGAUCCAGCCAUGCCGCGUGCAGGAAGACUGCCCUAUGGGUUGUAAACUGCUUUUGUACGGGAAGAAACACCCCCACGUGUGGGGGCUUGACGGUACCGUAAGAAUAAGGAUCGGCUAACUCCG